CUUCAGUACAAAAAAGCUUGGUUAGUCGGAAAAAUCUAUUGGGCGCCUUUUUUUUUGUCCUGCUUCACAACCCAAAAGCAUGAAAGAAAACAUCCUGCAUUGCUCAAUUAGUGUUAUUUGGGUAGAAAUUCAUUCUCCUCCUUUUUUUUCUCUCUUUAUGGUAAUUAGAAGAUAACAUGUUCAUAAUGAUGGCUUUUGGUAAUAUUAAAUUACAUGUUUUGUAGGUGUUUAGUCGUCACGAGAAAUUAACUGAGCCUUUUUUUAAGUAUCUAUAUCUGAUUUCUUCUUUUUUUUUUGUCCCCUGGUUUCUGAAGAAUUAGAAAAAUGAAGCAUUUUUUUGUUUUUUUCCCUUUUUUAAUCCUUAUUUUUUGGAGAAAUGGGGAUGGACGUUGCUGGAGUUAUGUCACUUUCAAAGGACUGCAUUUGAUAAUUUAUUUUUGAAGAUAGAGCUUUGUAAAUCUCGAGUAGUGAAUAGUGCAGAACAGUUGGCACUGCUGUCAUAGAGAUUUGAACAUCUACAAAUGGAAAAAGUACAAUUGACCUUGGAUCUAUUUGACUUUCGUGCGUAUGUGAUUACAGUAAGCAUUUAAAUACUAUAAUGUAAGAGAUUUCAAAACAAAAUUCAGGGUCAUAUUAUGUGCUAUACCAUAUACUCGUGUGGCAUUUUGGGAAAUGAUUAAUGCUACAGAUUGUGCAACUAUAGCAUCUCAUCCUGCUCAUACCAUUAAUGCUAGAUUGGCUACAUGAAAAAUUUCUUAUGCUUUUGAUGGCUUUCUGCAGUGUGGAAUAGGGAUCAGUCCUAUUUGUGUUGCAAGUGCUUUACUAGCACAUUUUUACUUCUAUGCUAAUUUAUUAAGAUGUAGCCAAAAAAUGAAGUUCUUUUGUUGGUUAUCCUCCUUUUUGGUAAACAGAAUGUCAUUAAUACCAUUGCGUUACUGUCUUUGUGUUGACAUCACGUCUAUUUUUUCUUGAGCAAGCGUACUUGUAACCUUAAGUCUGGUGAAGGUGUUCAAAUGAAAUCUGUGCAACACUAGGAUCAAGAAUGUGCCAUAGAAGGUCUCGUCUUUAAAUUUUGGCAUGAGAAGGUUUUUAAUGUGCUAUAGAAACACUGAUUGCUUCUUUUCUUGGUGCACAUUCAUCUGUGAUUUUUCUCGUCUUUUAACUUCGUUUAUACUCUCAUAUUACAAUUUGCAUUUUUACAGAGUGAGGAAGAAAAGGAAGAACAACCUCUGUGAGGUUUGUGGAGGAUGGCAAAAAAUUGUGGUAAAACUCCUGCUCCUAAUUUUUUCACGGUACUUUGGGCCUUUUGUUUUUAGAUUUUAAUAGUCUUCUUUUAAAUACUAGCUUUGAGUGAAUCCUUUUACCUGUCAAAAUGAAAUCUGCCAAAAUUAUAUCAAGUGCAUCUGUUAAAUCAGAAGUUAAAUGAUAAAUAACAUUAACUAAUAUGGAACAAAAGGGUCGAGGUUAAGAUUUUUCACUUUCACUUUUGUAGAGAAGUUUAAAGAUUUUUCGAAGAAACCUCUAAGCUGGUUCAGGAAUCAUUUUUUGCUCAGUUAAAAGUUGAAUCCUUUUGUUCUUUUCUUGUUUUUUCACUGAAUAUAGGACCUGGUCUUCAUGCAAUUUCUGUCUCUGCAUCUUAUAGGACAAGUCAAUAUUUCUAAAGUAGUAUAUGUUUGAGAGUAAGAUUAUAGAGAUGAUUGUCUACACAACUGAAAGUACUUUGCCAUUGCAAUUUCUCAGGGAUAAAUUUUUUCCCAUCAGAUUUUUAUCUCUAACCUUUUCUUUCUUCUUUCCUCUUUUUCUGGUAUCCAGUACAGGAAGAAGCAAUCUUUAUUUGUGGUCCAGGAAUAAACAAAUGGUGAAGAUAGCCUUUAAAUAGGUGUUUGUUCACCUUUUAUUGUUGUUUUUUCUUUUUUGGGUUUUAAUGAUAGUAUAAGUUCUAAUUAAUUGAGUUUUUGUUUAAUUGAUCCGUGAGAAUAUCUUAAGCUAGGUGACUUGGUUGAGCAGAUAUUGUGCACAUCUGUAUUUGGAACUCCAUAGCAUGGCAGCUUCCUUAUUUGGCUAUCUAGAUAGACUAUUUUGUAGUCUGAAAAUGUCAUCUUCUUUUGAUGGGCUUUUGAAUAACGAAUCAUUAGUUUCUAUUCAUUGAUUAAUUGUAUAGAUUGAUUUCACUUUUGUUGUUAGAGUAGGUUUAACUUGGUAAUAAAUUUGUAUAUUUCAUCUUUAACCUUUUGGGUUCAUUUCUUGAACUUCAAUAUUUAUAGGUAUAAACUUGUUGAAAAAAGGAUGAGAGGCAUUGGCAGUAUGAGGAGAGACGUAAAAGAAAAGAAGAAAGGUGUGCGAAAAAAUGCAAGUUGAAAUACUGAUACUAAAAUCAUUAUGGUCAUUAUUGUAAUGAUUAAAAUGUUAAGAAAAAGCUAGAGAUUCAGUUUCAAGAAAAGACCCUUGGGUUACUUGGCUCUAAGAUAGGCAUUGGUCAUUUAAGUUUCGUAUUCUUUGGGAAAUUCACUAUCAUUUGACCAUUUCAAUAUUCUUUUACCAUAAUAGAGCUAAUGUGUUUGGUUGCCUGUAACAUUGAUAGCUAUUUAAUGUAACUUGUCUUGACUCCUCACAGCUAAAAUGGAUUGAUGAGGAUUUCCUGAGCUAUGACUUUGAGUUCAACAUUUUGCUGACUUGCUAAAUUUGUUAAGAGAAUUUUCUUCACUUUCCUUGGAAUAUGUUUCUGUUGUUCUAUGUGCAGGUUAUUAGUCAAGAUAUGGAGAUUAAAGGACCUCAUUUAAAACAUCUGACACUUCUUUAGGUUUUGUUGUUCUAGGCCCAAUCAGAUAUCUUUAUACUUACUGUUAUUUGAUUGUGUGGCUUGAGUUCAAAUUAAGUAAAUUAUUUGAGAGAAUGCUUAAUGAUUUGUCAGGCUUGUUUUGCUUAGCAAUGAGUCAAAACCCGAAGAGUGGAAAAACUCUUACCGUUUCCGUUGCAUUAUCAUGAUUGAAGUAUCAUGCACCCCUAGAAUCAAGAUUGGAAUUAUUUCUGUCUGUCCUGCAUGGAUCUACAGUGAUUAUUUAUUAGCCUCAUUUUUGGAUACAUAUUAUUGUAGACAUUAUGUACCUUUUACAUUUUAAAUAAGAGGUUUUGUUUGUAAAGAUAGUAACCAACUUUUGUUUCAAUGCAUCAUAUUGUGUA